UUUCGACCAUCGGUGUUUUGGGCUUGAUACCGGGCCAUUGACGGAAGAGACAGUGUUGACCAUCCUAGAUCUGUUUAUAGACGGAAGCAACGUGCAUUCCGCAACCACCCCAUGUGGUCUUCUCACACGACGAACACCUCACAGACUGAUCUGAGAGACGAUGCCUUCACUUGGGAUCUCUUGCUUUUUGCGACGGACUCGGCGAAAUUGAAGAGAUGGAUGGCCCCUUCUCUACAAAUUUCCGAGAAACAAGAUUCUCUGAUUGACUAGGAGGUGGAGAAGACGUCUACGUGUGGGUUGGUAACUCGGAGACUUAAUGCCCCGGCCAGUGCGCCUGGUAGGGACGGUGACCAACCCAUUCAACAGCUAGUGGUUUCUUUCAAGGGCCACCGAGCGUGCCAUCAGAGGCCGUGCGCCAAUCCACCCAUUUCAGAGGACCAACCCCGGUAGGGACGGUGACCAACCCUUCUCCGCUUCUUCACUUGACCGAGAGGAAAAGUGGAUCCUCUACUACAUGUGACUCUGGUCGCAGACUUCGGCUAGUCUAAGAAGAGGAGGGGAGAUGAAGCGAACAAGGGAGAGAACAGAUCUUAUCGAUGUAACCGUUGGACAAAGACAUGCAGUCAGAGACGCGGGUAACCGCUGGACAGAGGAAGGAUCCAACAGAGAGACAAUUCUUGUGCAUCUCCAAGAGAGAGCACCUUUUGUAGCAUCAAGGCUCGAUGGGGGCUGGCGUGGGUCACCUGCCUACGUACUUGAAUCAAACUUUGUUGAACCAGAAUUGUGCUUCAUGCCUUCAUCUUUUUACUUGUUCAUGUCCAUUGAUUGUUAGUUUAACGUCUGCAAUUGAAUUUGGCAGCUUUGGGAUUUCAGGGGAAUUGUCCCACACAAAUACAAACUUUGGUGACAGCUUCCCCUCAGAUAAGGAAUCCAUAGGUGUGUGGUUGCAGAAGAGGCUGAGAGAGAGAAGGAAGCCUAUGUUUGUAAGGGGGUGUUUGUUUUUUAAACUUUGAGAGGGAGAA